UACAGAGGGUGCGAGCGUUAAUCGGAAUUACUGGGCGUAAAGCGUGCGUAGACGGUUAUUUAAGUCGGAUGUGAAAGCCCCGGGCUCAACCUGGGAAUUGCAUUCGAGACUGAAUAGCUAGGGUGCGGUAGAGGGAAGCGGAAUUUCCGAUGUAGCGGUGAAAUGCGUAGAUAUCGGAAGGAACAUCAGUGGCGAAAGCGGCUUCCUGGACCAGCACCGACGUUCAGGCACGAAAGCGUGGGGAGCAAACAGG
rnacentral:rRNA from 1 species